rnacentral:tRNA from 2 species
GGGCGGUUAGCUCAGUGGUAGAGCACUUCCUCGACACGGAAGGGGUCGGAGGUUCGAAACCUCUACCGCCCACCA